CGUCAACAUGUUAAACCCAGAGCAGUGGUCUGAGAUGUUGUGGGGGCUGGAUGUGAGGAUGAUCUCAUAUUGAUGUGAAGUGUAACUUCUUCUUUUCUCACGGUUCUUUCUUCCUCUUCAGACGCUGCACUUGUUGCUUCCUGGUAUGAAGUUGAAAUCUUUGUCUGAAGCAGAGUGACACGUUGUCAUUCACUGUUUCUCUUCAUAGACUGCAGUUCCAAGUUUCUCUUGAUACAAACAGGAAGUAUUUCUCAGGUACAACAACAGAGUGUCAGUGCUGGAUGUGAGGAUGGGACACACUUUUCUGUGUGUGCUGUUGUUGACCUUGUUGGAUACACUCCUCUACUGUGGACAUGCUCAAGAUAGACCCAGGGCCACACUGACAUCAGGACCAACAACCAUACCAGUAGGAGGCAGAGUGACACUGACCUGCUCUGUGGAGCCCUCUGCUGGAUGGAAAUAUGAGUGGUGGUUCAGACGUAGCACAGACACCUCUGAAGUUCAAGUCAAAACAAAUGAUGGCGAAAACAGAGUUAUCAAUGUAUCAAAAGAAGGA